AGUUGCAAAAGAGAGGAUCCUCACUCAGUUGAAGGAUACACUGAGGAAACCACUCCACUCCACUCCAUGCAGAACCAAUCCAUUACAUAGUGAGGAGGAAGUUGAAUCCGAAACGGUGGACACAAACGUGGAUUUGUUCAAUUACCCAGGGAAUUCUCAACCAACCAAACAAAAAAAGGUUGCAAAUGAGAGGGUCCUCACUCAGCUGAAGCAUACACUGAGGAAACCACUCCACUCUGAUCCACGCAGAACCAAUCCGUUACAUAGUGAGGAGGAAGUUCAAGCCGAAACCGUGGACACAAAUGUGGAUUUGUUCGAUUACCCAGAGAAUUUUCAACCAACCAAAUUCCCACCUUAGUGCAGUGUGUAAAGGAACUAAUAUCCUCAAUGAACAGAGGGAUCGAUACAGCAAGCACAAGCUCAGGGUCCUCCAGCUCAGCCCAAGAGAUGAUUUCUCUGGGCAACAUGGCUGUCCAAGUCAACAAAACCUGCUUUAGGAGAUUGAAUAGGAGCAGAAUGUCCCUGUUCACUCAAGAGUUAGCUGUUUUGUUGUUUGGGAGGGAGGUUCUGGGUUCAUCUAGCCUCACUGGGAAUAGGUCCCAAAAAGAACGGCUGAACCCAGAAAAAAUGAAUGCACUUAUUGACACUGUUAUAUCCGAGUUUCCGGGCACGUCACAGUCCGAGGUUAGAGCCGUAAUAUGGCGAAAGUGCAAUAACGAAAGUUUUGUUUCAAAAAAAAAAACACUGUAAAGGUAAUUUUUUGUUGUUGUUGGGAAAGGAAUGUGAAAGUAAAGAAGAAAUUUGUGUUUUGUUCAUAUAAGAUACGUACAGUAAUCUGUAGUUUAAUCAUUUUAUUAAAGGGUUAGUUCACCCAAAAAUCGAAAAGUUCUUUGUAUUUAGUCACCCGCGUGUUGUUCUAAACCCUUAAGACUUCCAUUAACCAUUGCAUCACAA